rnacentral:rRNA from 1 species
CCCUUAGAUGUUCUGGGCCGCACGCGCGCUACACUGAAUGGAUCAACGUGUUUUCCCUUCCCGAGAGGGACGGGUAACCCGCUGAACCCCAUUCGUGGUAGGGAUCGGAGCUUGCAAUUGUUCUCCGUGAACCAGGAAUUCCCAGUAAGCGCAAGUCAUCAGCUUGCAUUGAUUACGUCCCUGCCCUUUGUACACACCGCCCGUCGCACCUACCGAUUGAAUGGUCCGGUGAAAUCUUCGGAUCUGAGAGAUGUCUGAUUAAUUUCGGACGCCUUUUGGAAAAGUUGCUUAAACCUUACCAUUUAGAGGAAGGUGAAGUCGUAACA